rnacentral:misc_RNA from 1 species
UGAUAACAAAGCUUCCAUCCUGACCAUUGUUUUUAAUCGAAAAGAAAAGUGUGCAUCAAGAAAAGCUUCCUGAAUUCCAGUAGGUUUUGAUAAACUAUGCCAAACCCCUCAUGUUAAGCUCUUAUAUUCAUCAGCAAGACACAAGGCUCUAAAUCAAGGUCAUAGUGUGACUGUUUCAGUAUGCAGCAGUCAAAAGUGUAAUGGUUACAGAUAAUGCCAUUGCAAUUUUUCUCAAAAAGCAGUAAAAACUCAUAGUUAACAAUUUUUUUACUGAAUAUACAUGUUAAUAUUCUCAACCAUAGUAAUUAAAAGCACAAGGUGAAUCAUGACUCAAAUUCUACAGCUUUAAAAUCUAUUGUAUGUGAAAAAUUAAAGAUCACCCUCCCACCCCUGUUCACAUCUAUCUUUCACCCUCCACUCCCAAAACAAUACUUAUUCAGUUAAAAUAUCCAUUACCAGCUUGCUUUGCCUUUGCCUCACCUACACCUUUAAUCAA